rnacentral:rRNA from 1 species
UGGGGAAUAUUGCACAAUGGGCGAAAGCCUGAUGCAGCAACGCCGCGUGAGCGAUGAAGGCCUUCGGGUCGUAAAGCUCUGUCCUCAAGGAAGAUAAUGACGGUACUUGAGGAGGAAGCCCCGGCUAACUACGUGCCAGCAGCCGCGGUAAUACGUAGGGGGCUAGCGUUAUCCGGAAUUACUGGGCGUAAAGGGUGCGUAGGUGGUUUUUUAAGUCAGAAGUGAAAGGCUACGGCUCAACCGUAGUAAGCUUUUGAAACUGAGAAACUUGAGUGCAGGAGAGGAGAGUAGAAUUCCUAGUGUAGCGGUGAAAUGCGUAGAUAUUAGGAGGAAUACCAGUUGCGAAGGCGGCUCUCUGGACUGUAACUGACACUGAGGCACGAAAGCGUGGGGAGCAAACAGGAUUAGAUACCCUGGUAGUCCACGCCGUAAACGAUGAGUACUAGGUGUCGGGGUUACCCCCUCGGUGCCGCAGCUAACGCAUUAAGUACUCCGCCUGGGAA